ACCUCAAAGAGACUUCCACGUGGACAG
rnacentral:piRNA from 1 species